UACGGAGGGUGCGAGCGUUGUCCGGAUUUAUUGGGUUUAAAGGGUGCGUAGGCGGCCUGGUAAGUCGGCGGUGAAAGCCCGGGGCUCAACCCCGGAACUGCCAUCGAUACUGUCAGGCUUGAGUACGGGUGAGGCUGGCGGAAUGGGCGGUGUAGCGGUGAAAUGCAUAGAUAUGCGGAGGAACACCGAUGGCGAAGGCAAUCCCCUGGGCCUGCACUGACGCUCAUGCACGAAAGCGUGGGGAGCAAACAGG
rnacentral:rRNA from 1 species